rnacentral:rRNA from 1 species
AGAGUUUGAUCCUGGCUCAGAUUGAACGCUGGCGGCAGGCUUAACACAUGCAAGUCGAACGAUGAAAUCUAGCUUGCUAGAUGGAUUAGUGGCGAACGGGUGAGUAAUGCUUAGGAAUCUGCCUAUUAGUGGGGGAUAACCAUCCGAAAGGAUGGCUAAUACCGCAUACGUCUUACGAGAGAAAGGGGGCUUUUAGCUCUCGCUAAUAGAUGAGCCUAAGUCGGAUUAGCUAGUUGGUGGGGUAAAGGCCUACCAAGGCGACGAUCUGUAGCUGGUCUGAGAGGAUGAUCAGCCACACUGGGACUGAGACACGGCCCAGACUCCUACGGGAGGCAGCAGUGGGGAAUAUUGGACAAUGGGCGAAAGCCUGAUCCAGCCAUGCCGCGUGUGUGAAGAAGGCCUUUUGGUUGUAAAGCACUUUAAGUGGGGAGGAAAAGCUUGUGGUUAAUACCCAUUAGCCCUGACGUUACCCACAGAAUAAGCACCGGCUAACUCUGUGCCAGCAGCCGCGGUAAUACAGAGGGUGCAAGCGUUAAUCGGAAUUACUGGGCGUAAAGCGAGCGUAGGUGGUUACUUAAGUCAGAUGUGAAAGCCCCGGGCUUAACCUGGGAAUUGCAUCUGAUACUGGGUGACUAGAGUAGGUGAGAGGGAAGUAGAAUUCCAGGUGUAGCGGUGAAAUGCGUAGAGAUCUGGAGGAAUACCGAUGGCGAAGGCAGCUUCCUGGCAUCAUACUGACACUGAGGUUCGAAAGCGUGGGUAGCAAACAGGAUUAGAUACCCUGGUAGUCCACGCCGUAAACGAUGUCUACCAGUCGUUGGGUCUCUUGAAGACUUAGUGACGCAGUUAACGCAAUAAGUAGACCGCCUGGGGAGUACGGCCGCAAGGUUAAAACUCAAAGGAAUUGACG